AAGCGGUGGAGUAUGUGGUUUAAUUCGACGCAACGCGAAAACUUACCACCUUUGACAUGUACGGAAGUUGCCAGAGAUGGCUUCGUGCUCGAAAGAGAGCCGUAACACAGGUGCUGCAUGGCUGUCGUCAGCUCGUGUCGUGAGAUGUUGGGUUAAGUCCCGCAACGAGCGCAACCCUUGUCAUUAGUUGCUACGAAAGGGCACUCUAAUGAGACUGCCGGUGACAAAACCGGAGGAAAGGUGGGGAUGACGUCAAGUCCUCAUGGCCCUUAUAGGUGGGGCUACACACGUCAUACAAUGGCUGGUACAAAGGGUUGCCAACCCGCGAGGGGGAGCCAAUCCCAUAAAGCCAGUCGUAGUCCGGAUCGCAGUCUGCAACUCGACUGCGUGAAGUCGGAAUCGCUAGUAAUCGUGGAUCAGCAUGUCACGGUGAAUACGUUCCCGGGUCUU
rnacentral:rRNA from 1 species